rnacentral:rRNA from 1 species
UACAGAGGAGCCAAGCGUUGUCCGGAUUGACUGGGCGUAAAGCGCACGCAGGCGGAUACGCGCGUGGGGUGUGAAAUCUGGCCGCUUAACGGCCAGGCGCCAUCCCAUACGGCGUGUCUGGAGCUGUGCAGAGGUCGGUGGAAUUGCCGGUGUAGUGGUGAAAUGCGUAGAGAUCGGCAGGGACACCCAGGGGGAAACCAGCCGACUGGGCACAUGCUGACGCUGAGGUGCGAGAGCGUGGGGAGCGAACCGG